rnacentral:rRNA from 1 species
GGGUUGUGAGGUUAAGCGACUAAGCGUACACGGUGGAUGCCCUGGCAGUCAGAGGCGAUGAAGGACGUGCUAAUCUGCGAAAAGCGUCGGUAAGGUGAUAUGAACCGUUAUAACCGGCGAUGUCCGAAUGGGGAAACCCAGUGUGAUUCGUCACACUAUCGUUAACUGAAUACAUAGGUUAACGAGGCGAACCGGGGGAACUGAAACAUCUAAGUACCCCGAGGAAAAGAAAUCAACCGAGAUUCCCCCAGUAGCGGCGAGCGAACGGGGAGCAGCCCAGAGUCUGAAUCAGCUUGUGUGUUAGUGGAACGGUCUGGAAAGUCCGACGGUACAGGGUGAUAGUCCCGUACACCAAAAUGCACAGGCUGUGAACUCGAAGAGUAGGGCGGGACACGUGGUAUCCUGUCUGAAUAUGGGGGGACCAUCCUCCAAGGCUAAAUACUCCUG